rnacentral:rRNA from 1 species
GUUUGCGAUCAUACCAGCACUAAUGCACCGGAUCCCAUCAGAACUCCGCAGUUAAGCGUGCUUGGGCGAGAGUAGUACUAGGAUGGGUGACCCCCUGGGAAGUCCUCGUGUUGCAACCCC